rnacentral:tRNA from 1 species
GGUUUGUGGCUUGGUGGCAGAGCACUUGCCUAGCAUGUGUGAGGCACUGGGUUCGAUUCUCAGCACCA